rnacentral:rRNA from 1 species
UGGGGAAUUUUGCACAAUGGGGGAAACCCUGAUGCAGCGACGCCGCGUGAUUUAGAAGGCCUUCGGGUUGUAAAAAUCUUUUCUAUGGGAAGAAAAUGACAGUACCAUAGGAAUAAGGACCGGCUAAUUACGUGCCAGCAGCCGCGGUAAUACGUAAGGUCCGAGCGUUGUCCGGAAUCAUUGGGCGUAAAGGGUACGUAGGCGGGUAAGCAAGUUAGAAGUGAAAUCCUAUAGCUCAACUAUAGUAAGCUUUUAAAACUGCUCAUCUUGAGGGAGGGAAGGGAAAGUGGAAUUCCUAGUGUAGCGGUGAAAUGCGCAGAUAUUAGGAGGAAUACCGGUGGCGAAGGCGACUUUCUGGCCAUAACCUGACGCUGAGGUACGAAAGCGUGGGUAGCAAAAAGG